UACAGAGGCCCCAAGCGUUACUGAGAAUCACUGGGUUUAAAGGGUGCGUAGGUGGUCCGUUAGUUCGUUGUGAAAUCCCUGGGCUCAACCCAGGAAAUGCUUCGAAUACUGGCGGACUUGAGGCUAGUAGAGGUCACUGGAACUGACGGUGGAGCGGUGAAAUGCGUAGAUAUCGUCAGGAACGCCGAUGGUGAAGACAGGUGACUGGGCUAGUUCUGACACUGAGGCACGAAAGCGUGGGGAGCGAACGGG
rnacentral:rRNA from 1 species